rnacentral:rRNA from 1 species
CCUACGGGAGGCAGCAGUGAGGAAUAUUGGUCAAUGGGCGAGAGCCUGAACCAGCCAAGUCGCGUGAGGGAGUACUGCCCUAUGGGUUGUAAACCUCUUUUGUCGGGGAGCAAAAGCCGGACGUGUCCGGCUGUGAGAGUACCCGAAGAAAAAGCAUCGGCUAACUCCGUGACAGCAGCCGCGGUAAUACGGAGGAUGCGAGCGUUAUCCGGAUUUAUUGGGUUUAAAGGGUGCGCAGGCGGAUUUUUAAGUCAGCGGUAAAAUCGUGGGGCUCAACCCCAUCCAGCCGUUGAAACUGGGGAUCUAGAGUGUGCGAGAGGUAUGCGGAAUGCGUGGUGUAGCGGUGAAAUGCAUAGAUAUCACGCAGAACCCCGAUUGCGAAGGCAGCAUACCGGUGCACAACUGACGCUCAGGCACGAAAGCGUGGGUAUCGAACAGGAUUAGAUACCCCGGUAGUC